UCCGGCUUAUCACCGGCAGUCCCACUAGAGUGCCCAACUGAAUGAUGGCAACUAGUGGCGAGGGUUGCGCUCGUUGCGGGACUUAACCCAACAUCUCACGACACGAGCUGACGACAGCCAUGCAGCACCUGUCACCGGCCAAUUGAAGAUCUCCGUCUCCAGAGACCCGACCGGGAAGUCAAGAGCUGGUAAGGUUCUUCGCGUUGCCUCGAAUUAAACCACAUGCUCCACCGCUUGUGCGGGCCCCCGUCAAUUCCUUUGAGUUUCAGUCUUGCGACCGUACUCCCCAGGCGGAGUGCUUAAUGCGUUUGCUGCAGCACUAAAGGGCGGAAACCCUCUAACACUUAGCACUCAUCGUUUACGGCGUGGACUAC
rnacentral:misc_RNA from 1 species